rnacentral:rRNA from 1 species
AGAGUUUGAUCAUGGCUCAGAUUGAACGCUGGCGGAAUGCUUUACACAUGCAAGUCGAACGGCAGCACGGGGGCAACCCUGGUGGCGAGUGGCGAACGGGUGAGUAAUACAUCGGAACGUGCCCAGUCGUGGGGGAUAACUACGCGAAAGCGUAGCUAAUACCGCAUACGAUCUACGGAUGAAAGCGGGGGAUCGCAAGACCUCGCGCGAUUGGAGCGGCCGAUGGCAGAUUAGGUAGUUGGUGAGGUAAAGGCUCACCAAGCCUUCGAUCUGUAGCUGGUCUGAGAGGACGACCAGCCACACUGGGACUGAGACACGGCCCAGACUCCUACGGGAGGCAGCAGUGGGGAAUUUUGGACAAUGGGCGCAAGCCUGAUCCAGCCAUUCCGCGUGCAGGAUGAAGGCCUUCGGGUUGUAAACUGCUUUUGUACGGAACGAAAAGGCUCUCUCUAAUACAGAGGGCUCAUGACGGUACCGUAAGAAUAAGCACCGGCUAACUACGUGCCAGCAGCCGCGGUAAUACGUAGGGUGCAAGCGUUAAUCGGAAUUACUGGGCGUAAAGCGUGCGCAGGCGGUGAUGUAAGACAGUUGUGAAAUCCCCGGGCUCAACCUGGGAACUGCAUCUGUGACUGCAUCGCUGGAGUGCGGCAGAGGGGGAUGGAAUUCCGCGUGUAGCAGUGAAAUGCGUAGAUAUGCGGAGGAACACCGAU